rnacentral:tRNA from 1 species
GGGGAUUUAGCUCAGCGACAUAAGUGCCUGCCUUGCAAGCAGGCAGUCAUGAGUUCAAUCCCCA